CUACAAAAAUUAAGGUUACAUUUAAAAUGUACUUCCCAAAUAAUAUAGUAGGAUUUUCU
rnacentral:sRNA from 1 species